rnacentral:rRNA from 1 species
AUAUCAAUAAGCGGAGGAAAAAGAAACCAACAGGGAUUGCCUCAGUAACGGCGAGUGAAGCGGCAACAGCUCAAAUUUGAAAUCUGGCCCCAGGCCCGAGUUGUAAUUUGCAGAGGAUGCUUUUGGCGCGGUGCCUUCCGAGUUCCCUGGAACGGGACGCCAUAGAGGGUGAGAGCCCCGUCUGGUUGGACACCAAGCCUUUGUAAAGCUCCUUCGACGAGUCGAGUAGUUUGGGAAUGCUGCUCUAAAUGGGAGGUACAUGUCUUCUAAAGCUAAAUACCGGCCAGAGACCGAUAGCGCACAAGUAGAGUGAUCGAAAGAUGAAAAGCACUUUGGAAAGAGAGUUAAACAGCACGUGAAAUUGUUAAAAGGGAAGCGUUUAUGACCAGACGUGGGCCGGUUAAUCAUCCAGCGUUCUCGCUGGUGCACUUUGCCGGUCCAGGCCAGCAUCAGUUCGCUGCGGGGGAUAAAGGCUUUGGGAAUGUAGCUCCUCGGAGUGUUAUAGCCCUCUGCGUAAUACCCUGCGGCGGACUGAGGUUCGCGCUCUGCAAGGAUGCUGGCGUAAUGGUCAUCAACGACCCGUCUUGAAACACGGACCAAGGAGUCGUCUUCGUAUGCGAGUGUUCGGGUGUAAAACCCCUACGCGAAAUGAAAGUGAACGCAGGUGAGAGCUUCGGCGCAUCAUCGACCGAUCCUGAUGUUCUCGGAUGGAUUUGAGUAAGAGCAUACGGGGCCGGACCCGAAAGAAGGUGAACUAUGCCUGUAUAGGGUGAAGCCAGAGGAAACUCUGGUGGAGGCUCGCAGCGGUUUCUGACGUGCAAAUCGAUCGUCAAAUAAUGGGCAUGGGGCGAAAGACUAAUCGAACCUUCUAGUAGCUGGUUUCCGCCGA